rnacentral:rRNA from 1 species
UACGUAGGGCGCAAGCGUUAUCCGGAAUUAUUGGGCGUAAAGAGCUCGUAGGCGGUUUGUCGCGUCUGCCGUGAAAGUCCGGGGCUCAACUCCGGAUCUGCGGUGGGUACGGGCAGACUAGAGUGAUGUAGGGGAGACUGGAAUUCCUGGUGUAGCGGUGAAAUGCGCAGAUAUCAGGAGGAACACCGAUGGCGAAGGCGGGCUACUGGGCUGAUACUGACGCUGAUGCGCGAAAGCCAGGGGAGCAAACGGG